GUAGGUGGCAAGCGUUGUCCGGAAUUAUUGGGCGUAAAGCGCGCGCAGGUGGUUCUUUAAGUCUGAUGUGAAAGCCCCCCGGCUCAACCGGGGAGGGUCAUUGGAAACUGGGGAACUUGAGUGCAGGAGAGGAAAGUGGAAUUCCACGUGUAGCGGUGAAAUGCAUAGAUAUGUGGAGGAACACCAGUGGCGAAGGCGACUUUCUGGCCUGUAACUGACACUGAGGCGCGAAAGCGUGGGGAGCAAACAGGGAUUAGAUACCCUGGUAGUCCACGCCGUAAACGAUGAGUGCUAAGUGUUGGGGGGGUUUCCCGCCCCUCAGUGCUGCAGCUAACGCAUUAAGCACUCCGCCUGGGGAGUACGGUCGCAAGACUG
rnacentral:rRNA from 1 species